ensembl:lncRNA
CAUCUCAAUGCAAAUUUAGUUGAGCACACACAAACUAUUUUAUGUUGCCUUCCGCUAUACAUAAGAUACGGGUAGAUACGUGCAGAAGAUCAAAAUACCAUGUUGUCAUGCUCAUUGUACAGGGUACUGGAAUGGGGGAUGAGAUCUUGAAUGACAAAGGUAGUGAUGCGUGUGUUUGAGAGUGUGCUGCAGACAAGCGAGAAUAACUCUGUGGGGAACUAGCUCCAGUCUGACAGGGCUUUUUAGCUCAGUGUCCAAAACUAGGCAAACAUACUGAGCAAACCUUAGAAGCAAUGUAUCCUUGUUCAGUUACUGUUCUGCGUGGAGCCAGCCUGGGAAACAGCUGCCGUAGCAUGAUUCUUCUACAAAAUGGAUGUACUGUCCACAGUGAAUUCCUGCUUGACCAACCUGAUCACCUUCUAUGAUCCAGUGACCCGUCUGGUGGAUGAGGGAAAGGCUGUUGAUGUGCUCUACCUAGACUUCAGCAAAGCCUUUGACACUGUCUCCCACAGUAUUCUCCUGCAGAAGCUGGCAGAUCGUGGCUUGGACAGAUACACUCUUGGCUGCAUUCCACUACUUUUUUUCUCCUGAGACAAGUGAACAACUGAAGCUCUGCAUCAUGAUAGAACCAAAGAAAUCUGUCUUCUGCCAGAAAACAAGAACCUAGGCUGGUCUAAAAGCGUGAAGAACUUGUGUGGCUCUGUAUGACUCCAGUCUGAUUCUUCUUGCUGAGAAAUUUCCAUUACCCCCUUGAAGGAAUUUAGCAAUGCUAUGCAAUACCACAUGUAGAGCUUUUCAGAAGUUGUUUUCAAAUUCAAAUGGAACAAACAGUUCAAUUAAGAUUAAAAUACCUAGGAAGAGUGGAGUUUUCCAGAAAUCAAAAUGCUUAACAUAUAUUGUUUUAUAGAGGUCUGUAGCCUGCUGAAGAAAUAACUCAGAACAUGCUCUUCUUACUUUAUUGCUCUGUAUUUUGCAAAAUAAGUGGAAUUAAGGAGGAACUUGGAACAGCAUUUUUGCCUUGAUCCAAUUUUUGCAUAAUACACAUUUAACAACUUUCACUUGAAUCACCCUUUUAUGUUAAUCAUUCAGAGUUUUUACAGGAACAUUGGUUUUACAGGAACAUCACUGUUGAAUUCCAUGGAUAUUUUAUUUGUAUCUGUUAAAUUGCUAUCGCACUUG